UACGAAGGGGGCUAGCGUUGUUCGGAAUUACUGGGCGUAAAGGGCGCGUAGGCGGUGUGUCAAGUCAGGCGUGAAAGCCCCGGGCUCAACCUGGGAACCGCGCUGAGACUGGCACGCUCGAGUUCGGGAGAGGAUGGUGGAAUUCCCAGUGUAGAGGUGAAAUUCGUAGAUAUUGGGAAGAACACCGAUGGCGAAGGCAGCCCAUCUGGGACCGACACUG
rnacentral:rRNA from 1 species